AGAGUUUCGAUCCUGGCUCAGGACGAACGCUGCGGCGUGCUUAACACAUGCAAGUCGAACGGAGUGCCCUGAAAGAGUUUUCGGACAAUGGAUGGGAACACUUAGUGGCGGACUGGUGAGUAACGCGUGAGGAACCUGCCUUCCAGAGGGGGACAACAGUUGGAAACGACUGCUAAUACCGCAUGAUACAUUUGAAUCGCAUGGUUUGAAUGUCAAAGAUUUAUCGCUGGAAGAUGGCCUCGCGUCUGAUUAGCUAGUUGGUGAGGUAACGGCCCACCAAGGCGACGAUCAGUAGCCGGACUGAGGGGUUGGCCGGCCACAUUGGGACUGAGAUACGGCCCAGACUCCUACGGGAGGCAGCAGUGGGGAAUAUUGGGCAAUGGACGCAAGUCUGACCCAGCAACGCCGCGUGAAGGAAGAAGGCUUUCGGGUUGUAAACUUCUUUUAAGGGGGAAGAGCAGAAGACGGUACCCCUUGAAUAAGCCACGGCUAACUACGUG
rnacentral:rRNA from 1 species